CUGAACAUCAAAGCAAGUUCUAUGGCAAUACCUGUGUAAACUGUUUGAGAUGUCCCAGGCUGAUUUGAAGAAGAAAAACUGUAAAUACUAGUUUCUACAUGCUCUGAAACUAUGAAUUCAUGCAAUUUCCAAGCCCUCUGGGUCAAUAACUAGGGCAUUUGGUGCCCCAAUAAUAACUGGCAGCAUGGCAUACCUGCAGUGCACCUUACAAUAUUAAAGCAAGGUUUUUAUUCUAAGACAGAAUAAAACUGUUCAAUAAAAAAAUGUUCGUCAAAGUUCUUUCUCUUUAAACAGUAAUAUUCUCUUAGAAACAUAGUGAAAGGCAUCUUGAACAUGUAAGGGUGAAAUUAUGUUCAUGUUUAUAUUUCCUAAAAUAGCUGAAUUAGUUUACUUUUUUCCUAGGAUAUGUAUAUUGUUGUAGAUGUUUAGAUAAAGCUAGAAACUCUUUCUUCCCCUCCUAGAGUGCACACAGCUCCUGAGUAACAAUCUAUAACAUGAGGAGACUAAGCCAACCAGGCACAAGCCAAGCUGGAAAGCUCUGGCUAGAAUGUACCUUCUGUGGCAGACAUGUGCAAAAGAGGAGAGGGAAGGGCUGAUUCCUCCUAAACUGUCCUUCGAUAGACCAUUUCUCCCUCCAAAAUCAUGACUUAAUGUGAGGGCUAGGGAGAGAGGUCAGAAAGUUAAUUCAGCUCAGUAGCUGUUAAUUAGGGGUGAACUGACAUCCAGGGAGCCUUUAGGAAAGUGAAAGCAAGUCUUUUGGUUGUCACAGUGACUCAGGACCACCACUGGCAUUUUAGAGUAAGGGCUGGGGUGCUAAAAGUUCUGUGCUAUGCUGGGUAGUGCAUCAUAAUCAGUUAUCCAGCCUAGGGUGCCACAGUGGCCUUUCCACUUCUAAUGUACAAAUUCCCAUGCCUCAUACCUGGAGAGUCUGAUUCUGAAGUUCUGCAGUGGAGCCUGAGAAUCUGUAAUUCCCACAAGUAGUUGUGAUCAACCAGGUUUAGAAAGCCACUUUUAAAACAUCACAGCUGGCUCAUCUAAUCUAGCCUCCUCUUUUUAAGGGCCUUGGUUGAUGUUUCCACAUGGGACUACUCCAUCAUUUUCCCAUCCUUCCAAAUCCAGUAUAUCUAGGUUGUGACUCAGGAAAAAGGAGUAGGAAAGGACUAAAUGGAAGAGGGGGUGCAUUUCUGCAUGAUAAGAAUCUAGGGGGAAAUAGAUUGAGACUCAAGUUUCUCCUAGAGUUUGGCUGCUUUGAGUACUAAAACUCAGUUCCUGGAAUUCCCAUCAUGGCACAGUGGUUAAUGAAUCCAACUAGGAACCAUGAGGUUGCGGGUUCGAUCCCUGGCCUCACUCAGUGGGUUAAGGAUCCAGUGUUGCUGUGAGCUGUGGCUCUGGCAUAGGCCGGUGGUACAGCUCCAAUUAGACCCCUAGCCUGGGAACCUCCAUAUCAAGAAAAGGCAAAAAGACUAAAAUAAAAAACAAAACUCAGUUCCUAGCAUAUAGGAAAUGGCUAUGUAUUGCUUCUGUGUCUCAUUUUUUACAUGGCUUUUGUCCUUGUCUCUCUGGAUUGUCUCCCUGAAAGAAAAGCUGCUCUUUCUGCAAAGCCCUGUGGUAACAGCUCAGUCUGGAUUCAGUAUAGGGCAUUCCCUUGCCCAAUUAGUUCAGAGACUAUAAGCUGGUUUAAACAGUGACAGUGGGCAGAGCGUCACAGUAUCAAUUAAUGAAAGUGAUCCCUUAAAGGAACUCAGAUGUCACCAAUUUGCUUAGUUUACCUGUUUGGACUUUUUAAAAGGUAUCAAGUGUUAGUACAAUUGAAAUCAAAAUGAGAGAAGUAGCACCAUUAAUCUCUGAAUCUGGGGAUUUAAUGGGGAUUUGCUCAGAGCAGGCUGCCUUAGCUACUCCCAAGACAGAGGCACUGGGACAACUUCUUGCAGUAGGAGUGAGGGAGGUAAUGGAGAGUGCAGCUUUGAGCAGCAGAGACUUGGAGGUCAGCAGCAGCCAGUAAGCCAGCUAGUGUGUACACCGGUAACAUAAAGAUACAGGUCCUUUGAACUGUUUCUGUUGGGUAACCCCAACCCCUUGCAGUGACACACAUGUUCUUACCCUGUUUUUUAGAGCCAAGGUUAGUAAAAGCGAGUUUGUGGUUUUUGAGACACUUACAAAUCUGGCUCCAAGAGCAUGUGAUGAGACUGUGAAUCUAAUGUGGUUUCUGUUCUUUGUAAUGGUGCUGAGCUCUGAGCCAGUGGUAUGGGUGUCCUUUAAAUUCCAGCUCAGUUCAUAUUUAAAGGACUCAGCUGACGUAAACAUGUUUUCAGGUUUACUGAUAAGUGUAUUAAUCAACCAGAAUCUGAUUCUAGUUUAUAGUGAAUGUUGAUUUUAGGGAAAUGCUUUAAAAUGAACUGAUUUCCAUUUGUGGUUUAUAAAAAACAAAGUAGCUCUGUGAGGCCAAAGCAUACUUCAGUAAUAAGGCUUUCUUAGAGUGACUUAUAGUUUAGGUGCACAGAAACAACUGUGAGCAGCCAGCAAGGAGCUCAUCACCCAGAAAAGUCUUGUCUCCAAAUGAAAAAAAGGUCUGGAAUGGAAGGGGGAAAAGGCAAAGAAUGCCAGUUUUGAGGAAGUGAGAAGCCUGGGCCAAGACAAGAUCAUAAUGAAUUCUAGUGCAUGGUUUAUAGUCAUGCUAGUACAGAGGACAGAACGUGUUUACUAGCUGUCUGGAGUGUGCUCCUAUAAUCCUGGUACUCACUUAAUCCUGAUAAUCCUCGGGUGCUGGCCUCACACAGGAUUGUUGAUGAGAAUGCAAAUCCCAACAUUGCAAUUCAGGAUUUUACUUGUGUCGAAAUUGUUUUGUAAAUUUUUUUAAUGGGUUAGUUGGAUGAUGGUGAUCGCUUGCUCAGUUCCCCAGUGUAUUAACAGCAUUUCUUUGUCCCAAAGUGGGUAUUGGAGCUUUUGCAGGUUGUGUUUACAAAAUAGAAUAAGAGGAGUUCCCGUCGUGGCGCAGUGGUUAAUGAAUCCGACUAGGAACCAUGAGGUUGCGGGUUCGGUCCCUGCCCUUGCUCAGUGGGUUAAUGAUCCGGCAUUGCUGUGAGCUGUGGUGUAGGUUGCAGACGCGGCUCGGAUCCCGUGUUGCUGUGGCUCUGGCGUAGGCCGGUGGCUACAGCUCCAAUUCGACCCCUAGCCUGGGAACCUCCACAUGCCAUGG
ensembl:lncRNA